rnacentral:rRNA from 1 species
ACGAACGCUGGCGGCGUGCCUAACACAUGCAAGUCGAACGAGAAAGCCCUUUGGGGUGAGUAGAGUGGCGCACGGGUGAGUAACACAUCGGAACGCGUCCAGUAAUGGGGGAUAACCUGGCGAAAGCCAGGCUAAUACCGCAUACGUCCUGAGGGAGAAAGCGGGGGACCUGCAAGGGCCUCGCGUUAUUGGAGUGGCCGAUGUCGGAUUAGCUAGUUGGUGGGGUAAAGGCCUACCAAGGCGACGAUCCGUAGCUGGUCUGAGAGGACGACCAGCCACACUGGGACUGAGACACGGCCCAGACUCCUACGGGAGGCAGCAGUGGGGAAUUUUGGACAAUGGGCGCAAGCCUGAUCCGGCCAUUCCGCGUGAGUGAAGAAGGCCUUCGGGUUGUAAAGCUCUUUCGGCCGGGACGAAAUCGCACGGGUCAAUACCCUGUGUGGAUGACGGUACUGGAAGAAGAAGCACCGGCUAACUACGU